rnacentral:rRNA from 1 species
AUGGCUGCUUGUGCAGAGAGCCCCUCUACACCCAAGAAUCCCAUUGUGGAAUUGAUAGACAGCGAUGAUGAUGCGUUUGACAAGAUUGCUGGCAUGGGAAGAGUCACCGGGAGCGCUGCUGCUGCCAAGGGUUUAUCCUCACUUGCUGGAAUAGUGGCCCAUAGAGCUGGUGGUGCUAGGAAGGAUCCUGCUUUGGAUUUUGGCAAUGUACAGCUUCACCCUCAUAAAUUCCCUCACCUGGACAAGGCACGCAAGUUGUAUAAUCUGUUGCUUAGUGAUGAAGCAUGUGAGAAGUAUGCCGAGAAUACAUUCUCAAUGAUACCUCAGCCCGAUGGUAGUGUAACCAGCUUCACUGGGAAACACAUCUGGGAAGUUUUUGCACCUGGGCAAAUGAUGGAGGGUGAUGUAAUGGACUUCCUCAUUGAUGAUUGGAAGAAAGAUCCCGAUAGAAAUGUUGAUUUUGCAUCUGGGAAAAGGGUAUUGGUGAGUCCAUAUUUCAUCACGGUUGAGCUUGACUGUACGUUUUACGGUGGUGAAGAUAAAGAGUUUAAUGUGGAGAGUGCAGUGAGAGAUUUCAGGAGCUAUGUUAAGAAAGAGGAAGACUUGCUCACUGCCGACCUUAUCAUGAUGCCUCUAUUCAAGCAAUGUUUUUUGGUCAUGCUGUUUUUUAUUUUGAACUUUUCUGCAUCUUUUUUUCUGCUUUUCUGA